CCCUUCCUUCCCAUCCUUAUCUCUUUCUUGUCCUCCUCCUCUCCUCUCUCCUUCUCAUCGACAUUCCCUCUCUCCUUCUCAUCCACAUUUCCUCUUCAUUUUCUUCCUUAUUUAAGCCCACUUAUGAGCCCUACCUCUCUACGAUGAUCUCCUUUAUAUCUAUCUCUUCUUACUGGCAACCUAUCAUUUCUUCUCUCUUUUCUCCUCAUUCAUUUUUUCUCCUCCAUGACGGCUCUCUCAACCUCCAUCCAUUCCUCCAUCUCCUCCCCUUCUUCCUCAUUCUCCUUCUUCAAGCUGCCCAUAACUCAUCUCCCUCCAUGGUGAUCCUUUCCACCUCCAUCUAUUUUUAUCGGCAAUCCAUCCUUUCCUCUGCCAUUCUUCCUAAUUCUCUAGUUCUCUU
rnacentral:lncRNA from 1 species